rnacentral:lncRNA from 1 species
UGCCAAGUCAUCCACAGGACACCUCUCCUGAUCAAACUCCCUGGCAAAGCCUGACCAACAACACUCCCUAUCCCUGAUCAACCGCAGCUUGCAGGGCGAGCAGAGAUCCCCGACGAGCGAUGAAAAAAGCCUCUGGAGGAGCAUCUUUGCUCCACCACAGGCUCGGGGGCUACUGUUGGGGGGAAAUAUUAACGACCUCCUAAUGCCGCUUAAAGCAACAGUCAUGAAGGCCCAGGCCCACCUGCGGUAAUUACGAUUACCGCCGACCCAGUAGUGGCAGAGAACAUCCCACUCCGUCUCGCCCGACCCAGGGCCCCGGGGUCGGACAAUCCCGACCCCUCGAUGGCGGGACUCCGCCUCGCCCGACCGUGGUCCCAGGGUUGGGAGCGCCCGACCCCUCAAAGACUAAAUUCCGCCUCGCCCGACCUAGGGGACCGGGGUCAGGAGCGCCCGACCCCCACCACAGAAACUCCGCCUCGCCCGACCCUGGGCGCGGGGGUCGGACUCGCUCGGGUCCACAAGACAAAUAUUCACCUCGGGCGCGGACUGGAGGAUCAGGAUGACGAUCUCGUGGGUCCCCCUAUCGACCUCGCCAUAAAUGCACCGCGGCCCUGUCAAGCCAAAAGGGAGCAGCGUCCCCAACGUAACCG